rnacentral:rRNA from 1 species
AUGGUGAAGAAGGUGAAGAUUGGGAUUGCCAAGAGUCAACCCAAGUACAAGUGCUACCGCCUUGAUGACAAGGAUACUCUCUUCUUCAAGGAUCGUAUUGUUGUGCCCAAAGGUGAUCUUCGUAAGGUUAUCAUGAACGAGGCUCACAAUUCACUCCUCUCCAUCCACCCUGGGAGCACGAAGAUGUAUCAGGACCUCAAGCAGGCUUAUUGGUGGACUCGAAUGAAGCGCGAGAUUGCUCAGUUCGUGAAUGAGUGUGAUGUCUGCAGAAGAGUGAAGGCAGAACACCAAAGGCCAGCGGGUCUCCUCCAACCUCUUGCCAUUCCAGAACGGAAGUUUGACCACAUUGAGAUGGACUUCGUGACUGGGUUUCCAAAGUCCAAGCGUGGCAAUGAUGCUAUAUUCGUUGUCAUCGACAAACUCACUAAAGUGGCUCACUUUCUGCCUAUCAAAGAGUCUAUCACUGCAGCUCAAUUGGCGGAGCUGUAUACCUCUCGGAUUGUCUCGCUGCAUGGUAUUCCAUAG